AGGACGAACGCUGGCGGCGUGCUUAACACAUGCAAGUCGAACGGAAAGGCCCUUCGGGGUACUCGAGUGGCGAACGGGUGAGUAACACGUGAGCAAUCUGCCCCUAGCUCUGGGAUAGCUCCGGGAAACCGGGAUUAAUACCAGAUAUUACUACGGCCGACAUCAGCUGUGGUGGAAAGAAUUUCGGCUAGGGAUGAGCUCGCGGCCUAUCAGCUUGUUGGUGGGGUAAAGCCCACCAAGGCGACGACGGGUAGCCGGCCUGAGAGGGCGACCGGCCACACUGGGACUGAGACACGGCCCAGACUCCUACGGGAGGCAGCAGUGGGGAAUAUUGCGCAAUGGGCGAAAAGCCUGACGCAGCGACGCCGCGUGCGGGAUGAAAGGCCUUCGGGUUGUAAACCGCUUUCAGCAGGGACGAAGCGAAAGUGACGGUACCUGCAGAAGAAGCGCCGGCUAACUACGCGCCAGCAGCCGC
rnacentral:rRNA from 1 species